rnacentral:rRNA from 1 species
AUGAGAGAGGGUGAAAUUGCGGCCUCAGGUAUAGAACUCCUGAAUAGGCGGCUAGGGAGUGGUGCACGUCAUGGUGGCUGGUGCCCUGGAUCUCUCAAAUCUGGACGCGGGGAGUUUGUGCCAAGGCGAAAGCCUAGCGCGAUGGCGGGAAGUACACCCUUCCUGAAGGCGCCGAUGCAGAUUGUUCUCCUCUUCCCUGGUGCUCCGGGCUGCUAG